rnacentral:rRNA from 1 species
GAUGAACGCUAGCGGAAGGCCCAACACAUGCAAGUCGAGCGGUAUUUGGUAGCUUGCUACUACAGAGAGCGGCGUACGGGUGCGUAACAUGUGUGCAACCUACCCUUAUCAAGGGGAUAGCCAUUCAAAAGGAUGAUUAAUACCCUAUAAUAUAUCAGGUGGCAUCAUUUGAUAUUGAAAGCUACGGUGGAUAAGGAUGGGCACGCACAAGAUUAGCUAGUUGGUAAGGUAACGGCUUACCAAGGCGAUGAUCUUUAGGGGUCCUGAGAGGGAGAUCCCCCACACUGGGACUGAGACACGGUCCAGACUCCUACGGGAGGCAGCACUGAGGAAUAUUGGACAAUGGGUGGCAGCCUGAUCCAACCAUUCCGCGAGCAAGAAGAACGUCUUAUGGAUUGAAAACUGCUUUUAUAUAGGGAUAAACCUACUCUCGAGAGGGUAGCUGAAGGUACUAUAUGAAUAAGCACCGGCUAACUCCGUGACAGCAGCCGCUGUAAUACUGAGGGUGCAAGCGUUAUCCGGACUUAUUGGGUUUAAAGGCUCAGUAGGCGGGUUAUUAAGUCAGUGAUGAAAUCUCAUAGCUCAACUAUGAAACUGCCAUUUGAUACUGAUAGACUUGAGUAUAUUUGAAGAGACUGGAAUAACUAGUGUAGCGGUGAAAUGCAUAGAUAUUACUUAGAACACCAAUAGCGAAGGCAGGUCACUAAGAUAUUACUGACGCUGAGGGACGAGAGCGUAGGGAGCGAACAGGAUUAGAUACCCUGGUAGUCUACGCUGUAAACGAUGCUAACUCGUUUUUGGUAUUUAUGUAUCAGAGAGUAAUCGAAAGUGAUAAGUUAGCCACCUGGGGAGUACGCUCGCAAGAGUGUAACUCAAAGGAAUUGACGGGGGCCCGCACAAGCGGUGGAUUAUGUGGGUUAAUUCGAUGAUACGCGAGGAACCUUACCAAGACUUAAAUGGGAAUUGACAGCUAUAGAGAUAUGGUUUUCUUCGGACAAUUUUCCAGGUGCUGCAUGGUUGUCGUCAGCUCGUGCCGUGAGGUGUUAGGUUAAGUCCUGCAACGAGCGCAACCCUUGUCACUAGUUGCCAUCAUUAAGUUGGGGACUCUAGUGAGACUGCCUACGCAAGUAGAGAGGAAGGUGGGGAUGACGUCAAAUCAUCACGGCCCUUACGUCUUGGGCCACACACGUAAUACAAUGGGCGAUACAGAGGGCAGCUACACAGCGAUGUGAUGCGAAUCUCGAAAGUCCUUUUCAGUUCGGAUUGGAGUUUGCAACUUGACUCUCUGAAGCCGGAAUCGCUAGUAAUUGCGUAUCAGCCAUGACGCGGUGAAUACGUUCCCGGGCCU